AAAAACUGGAGAACAACGAUAAAAGACUUGGGAAUAACUCUACCAAAUUUCGUUACCUUUGACCACGAUUUGAUAUGACGAAACUGAUUUCUCCCAAACCCUAACGAUUCUACUCCUUCUCCUUCUCUCUCUUUUUCUCUUUUAUAAAACGAAAAGUGUCUAAAUAAAGCCCUAAUUUCGAGUUUCCUUCUUUUAUAGGCACACUCUAGGGUUUCCAAUUAACCCAACCAAUUAAACCGGAUGAUUUAAAAACAAACCCUAACCCAUUUUCUGGUUCACGGGCGUUACAGUUCGGUACUUGUAUCAAUUAUUU
rnacentral:sRNA from 1 species